UGUUAAAAAGCUCGUAGUUGAACCUUGGGGCUGGCCGACCGGUCCGCCUCACCGCGAGCACUGGCUCGGCCGGCCCUUUCCUCGCGGGGAACCCCAUGCCCUUCGCUGGGUGUGGCGGCCAUCCGCGACUUUUACUGUGAAUAAAUCAGACUGUUCAAAGGAGGCCUUUGCUCGGAUGUCUUAGCAUGGAAUAAUGGAAUAGGACGCGCGUCCCUAUUUUGUUGGUUUCUAGGGACGCCGUAAUGAUUAAUAGGGAUGGUCGGGGGCAUCAGUAUUCAAUUGUCAGAGGUGAAAUUCUUGGAUUUAUUGAAGACUAACCACUGCGAAAGCAUUUGCCAGGGAUGUUUUCAUUAAUCAGUGAACGAAAGUUAGGGGAUCGAAGACGAUCAGAUACCGUCGUAGUCUUAACCGUAAACUAUGCCGACUAGGGAUCGGGCGAUGUUUCAUCAUGACUCGCUCGGCACCUUGCGAGAAAUCAAAGUGAGGUUCUGGGGGGAGUAUGGUCGCAAGGCUGAAACUUAAAGAAAUUGACGGAAGGGCACCACCAGGAGUGGAGCCUGCGGCUUAAUUUGACUCAACACGGGGAAACUCACCAGGUCCAGACACAAUAAGGAUUGACAGAAUUGAGAG
rnacentral:rRNA from 1 species